rnacentral:rRNA from 1 species
GACGAACGCUGGCGGCGUGCCUAAUACAUGCAAGUAGAACGCUGAAGGAGGAGCUUGCUUCUCUGGAUGAGUUGCGAACGGGUGAGUAACGCGUAGGUAACCUGCCUGGUAGCGGGGGAUAACUAUUGGAAACGAUAGCUAAUACCGCAUAAGAGUAGAUGUUGCAUGACAUUUGCUUAAAAGGUGCAAUUGCAUCACUACCAGAUGGACCUGCGUUGUAUUAGCUAGUUGGUGGGGUAACGGCUUACCAAGGCGACGAUACAUAGCCGACCUGAGAGGGUGAUCGGCCACACUGGGACUGGGACACGGCUCAGACUCCUACGGGAGGCAGCAGUAGGGAAUCUUCGGCAAGGGACGGAAGUCUGACCGAGCAACGCCGCGUGAGUGAAGAAGGUUUUCGGAUCGUAAAGCUCUGUUGUAAGAGAAGAACGAGUGUGAGAGUGGAAAGUUCACACUGUGACGGUAUCUUACCAGAAAGGGACGGCUAACUACGUG